GGAAGAGCUGAUUAGAAAUACCUUUCACCCAGAUGUUGCUCGUAUAAUUUUACAGAUCCCAUUAUCGGAAUCAGAUCACGAGGACUUUCAAGUUUGGAGGGGCCAACCGACUGGUGAAUACUCAGUUCGUAGUGCUUAUAAACUAGUACAAAAUGCUAAUCUGGAUCCUAGUAAUUAUUUAUUACAGACCGAAAUUAAUUGGAAAGCUAUGCAACUUACAGCUACCAUCUAAGAUUACAAUCAUAAUCUGGUGCAUCUCCUUUAAUUACAUUCCUACAUUGGCCAAUCUCAGAUAUAGAAAAUUAGUGACAAAUGCUAGUUGUCCUCAUUGUGGUUAUGGGGAAGAAGAUUGUCAUCACAUCUUCAGGCAAUAUCCUAUAAGCACCGAAGUCUAGUAGUUAUUAAAUCUAUCUUGGAUCAGAAAUAUCACGCAUCAAAAUCUUUGGGAAUGGCUUACCGCGAUUUUCAAACAAGGAACAAACGAAUAGUGCAAAUACUUUUGUUAUGCCUUAUGGUUACUUUGGUAUUCAAGGAAUCAGCUUUUGCAUGAAAGGGUACAUUCAACAGGCAAAAACCUUGUACAAAAAGUCUAGAACCAUAUGGCAGAAUACGAAGGGAUUAAAGCAAAGAAGAUUUUAUCAAACAUGGUGCAUAAUCAAAGAACUGUGGAGGACUUACCGAUUAUGAAAAUCUAGUUUGAUGCUGCGUUCGAUUGUAAAGAUUUUAGAUUGGCGUCAGGGCUAGUGGUCUGGGGUACGAUGAACAAGUAUUUGGCCUCAAAAUCGAUUCUUCAUAACAAUAUUGCAUCUCCUUUUGCAGCAGAAGCAUAUGCAGGCUUGGAAGCAGUUAAGUUAGGAAUCGAAAUGGGUUUUCAAGAAAUACAAAUAUUAGGUGAUUCACUAACAGUAAUCAAGAAAUGUUAGUCAACAGAAACCGAUUAUUCAGUUAUUGGAGCGAUUAUUAGAGACAUCCAGAGUAAGAAAUCAUGUUUCCAAAAGAUUGAGUUCAAGCAUAUGCAAAAAACGAAGAAUACGAGAGCCCAUAAUAUCACGAAGGAAGCAUUGAAGAGAAGCGAGAGGGCAUACCUAGAGAAUAAAGAGAAGAUUCAUCACAAUGUUGGUGUAGCAGAGCAAUGGGCAAGGAAUCCGGAGUAAGAAGAUAAAGAAAGGAUUUGGUUCUAAAGCAGAUAGAAAAGAAAGAUAUUCUUGGGCAGUGCUAUCGUCAAACGGAUGGAGCAGAUGGGACAGAUUGACUAAGGGUAGAUUAGGUUUCCCUUUUUCAAGGCGUAUUUAUUUUCUG
rnacentral:lncRNA from 1 species